rnacentral:rRNA from 1 species
UACGUAGGGUGCGAGCGUUGUCCGGAAUUAUUGGGCGUAAAGAGCUUGUAGGCGGUUUGUCGCGUCUGCUGUGAAAUUUCGGGGCUCAACCCCGAACUUGCAGUGGGUACGGGCGGACUAGAGUGCGGUAGGGGGAGACUGGAAUUCCUGGUGUAGCGGUGAAAUGCGCAGAUAUCAGGAGGAACACCGGUGGCGAAGGCGGGUCUCUGGGCCGUAACUGACGCUGAGGAGCGAAAGCAUGGGGAGCGAACAGG